rnacentral:rRNA from 1 species
UAAUACGUAGGAUCCAAGCGUUAUCCGGAAUUACUGGGCGUAAAGCGUACGUAGGUGGAGAUUUAAGUGAGAUGCGAAAUCUGGCGGCUCAACCGUCUAGACUGUGUCUCAUACUGGGUUUCUUGAGGUUGGCAGAGGCAAGUGGAAUUUCCGGUGUAGCAGUGAAAUGCGUAGAGAUCGGAAGGAACACCAAUGGCGAAGGCAGCUUGCUGGGCCACACCUGACACUGAGGUACGAAAGCGUGGGGAGCGAACAGGAUUAGAUACCCUGGUAGUCCACGCCGUAAACGAUGGAUGCUAGUAGUUCGAGGUAUCGACCCCUUGGGCUGCGAAGCUAACGCGUUAAGCAUCCCGCCUGGGGAGUACGAGCGCAAGCUUA